rnacentral:lncRNA from 1 species
CUAGCUUUUUUUUUCCAAAUUUGAGAUGAGCAAGUUUAGGAAGGUCUUCCUUCUCCCUAAUCGGAUCAAUAUUCUUGGGGAUAGUUUUAGUUUCUACUAAUUUACUUUCUUGCAUGCUGCAGUACUAAAGAAAACAUAAGACUAAUGCUAGCAGAUGGGAAUUAAGUAGAUGAGAGACUAAUGAGAAGCGAUGGUCUCCGAUUGUCCUAUCAGCAACUUUGUGAC